rnacentral:rRNA from 1 species
UACUUAUGGUUGUGUUCCAAAAGUGGAUUGGAAUAGUGAUGUCGGUCAGACGAGGAGAGGGAGAUGAGUAGAGGGGCGGCGCAGCGGGGGCCGGAGGCGGGAGUGGGGGUGUCGGUGGUGUUUAGCUGCUGGAGCAAAGGGUACGCGGGGAAGAGUAGGGGAAGGGGCCAAGUAGCCUCUCCUUUUAACCGUCCAGCUCGCUGGUCUAGGCGGGUGUAGACCGGGGCAACGUUGACCGCUGCUGGCGCCACAACCGCCCGCCGCGGUUGUGCGGCGAGAGCCGGCACCUCGACGAGGGCGGCCCGGUGGGCUCGGGCAGGCAGCGGACGAGCGCAGGGCGUCACAGAAGAGGCUUGUGUGUCGGCUGCCGCCAUGCACGAAGACGACCGCACCGGUGCCGAGGUGCUCCGGCACGAGCUGGGGCGGCCACGGCUCGGGAAGCGCGCGCGGGUGCGGCCGGAGGGACGGAUGCGGAUGAUACCGGUCCUGGCCCUCCGCUUGCUCCACUACGAGUCCCGGCACUGGCCGCACAGCCUCGGCAAGUACCUCCACGGCGACCUGCCCAUGAAGGGGCCACCUCCCUAACUCCCGCACCGGUACGAGCAGCUGCAGCCACCGUCGAGGCCGCGGAAGGAGCGCUACUAGUACUCGUCCCACGGGUGGUAGGCGGUCCCUGAGUUGAAGCUGGACGGUCUGCAGCAGCGGCGGCGCGCGAGGGUAGAGACACCAGUACACUACAAUCAUUAGAACAUGCAUGAUAUGCCACCCAUGAAUUGACGUCAGCAGCAGUGGCUGUCAUUAGAUCUCUGCUCAAACUAUUACUCCAAAGUCUCGUAUGAACCCCAUUUGAUACGUAUU